rnacentral:rRNA from 1 species
CACGGGGGGAGCAAGCGUUGUUCGGAAUCACUGGGCGUAAAGGGCGUGUAGGCGGUCAGGUAAGUGGGACGUGAAAUGCCUCGGCUCACCCGAGGAGCGGCGUCCCAUACUGCUUGGCUUGAGUACGGGAGAGGAUGUGGGAAUUCCUGGUGUAGCGGUGAAAUGCGUAGAUAUCUGGAGGAACACCGGUGGCGAAGGCGGCAUCCUGGACCAACACUGACGCUGAGUGAGCGAAAGCCAGGGGAGCAAACGGG